UAGAAUUGCAGAUAGAGAAGACCACGCUGAUGUCACAAAACCGGAAAAACACUGGCCGGCACCUGCUGCAGACACUUCCAGUCUUUUUUUCCACGUGCAUUUUGUUUUACUAAAAAAUGAGACCAUUUUGUAUAUACUGCUUUGCAUCUUACUUUUCUCACCGAUGAACAUUUUCCCAUGUGGACGAUUACAUUCUGUGACAAUUAAUAGCUGAGCAGUAUUUCAUCCUAUGGUUAUUCCUUCACUUAUCAAGCCUAUCUUAAGGAUAUCUGGGCACUUUCCAAAUGCAUAUGUUUUUUUAGGAUACAUUCCCAUACGUGGUGGUAUCUCAAAGUUAAAGGGUGUGCAAAUUUUAAGACAUCAUUGGUGCAUAGUACAGAAGCCACACACAGGCGCACAUGCACUCGCUGUCACAAAUGCCAACAAGCUGCACGCUGAGGGGCAGCUCCCCAGAUGAGGACACUGAGACUCAAUGACAGCAGUGACUUGGCCAAAGUGACCGCAGGACUGUUUCGGGAAGAGGGACCUGAGCCUGAAUCUGGGAGGCAAUCAGCACACACAUG